rnacentral:rRNA from 1 species
GACGAACGCUGGCGGCGUGCUUAACACAUGCGAGUCGAACGGAAAGGCCCUGCUUGCAGGGUACUCGAGUGGCGAACGGGUGAGUAACACGUGGGUGAUCUGCCCUGCACUUCGGGAUAAGCCUGGGAAACUGGGUCUAAUACCGGAUAGGAGCCAUUUUUAGUGUGAUGGUUGGAAAGUUUUUUCGGUGUAGGAUGAGCUCGCGGCCUAUCAGCUUGUUGGUGGGGUAAUGGCCUACCAAGGCGGCGACGGGUAGCCGGCCUGAGAGGGUGGACGGCCACAUUGGGACUGAGAUACGGCCCAGACUCCUACGGGAGGCAGCAGUGGGGAAUAUUGCACAAUGGGCGCAAGCCUGAUGCAGCGACGCCGCGUGGGGGAUGACGGCCUUCGGGUUGUAAACUCCUUUCGCUAGGGACGAAGCUUUUUGUGACGGUACCUAGAGAAGAAGCACCGGCUAACUACGUG